UGUUCGAACGAUCUUUUAACCCAG
rnacentral:piRNA from 1 species